GAUGAACGCUAGCGGCAGGCUUAAUACAUGCAAGUCGAACGGUAAGUUUGGUAGCAAUAUCAAACCAAGAGUGACGUACGGGUGCGUAACACGUAUGCAACCUACCUUGUACAGGAGUAUAGCUCGGGGAAACUCGAAUUAACCCUCCAUGAGAUCACAGUGUGGCAUCACACAGUGAUUAAAACUCAGGUGGUACAAGAUGGGCAUGCGUCUGAUUAGAGUUGGCGGGGUAAUGGCCCACCAAGACGAUGAUCAGUAGGGGACCUGAGAGGGUGA
rnacentral:rRNA from 1 species